UUUGUUAAAAAUUUCUAUUUGGUAGAAAGGGUUUGUCAUGUUGACAUAACAUGAUGUAGAACAUUUAAAAAUCCAAUCUUUACAAUGUAACUAACUCCCCUUAUAUCUUUGCUACAGAAUUACCUGAAAAAAUGACUUGAAAUCAAUAUCUCAUAAUUUAGCAGCAGUUUUCCCAACAGCAACAUAAUUUUGCAUGACUUGAAAGCAAUAUCUCAUCACAGCAACAACAUAAUUUAUCAUAACAGCAUGACUUUGAAUCCCAAAUCCCAGCAUUCAUAAUUUAUCAUAACAACAUAAUCUUCCGCAGCAAACAGUUCAUCACAGCCACAACAUCAUUUUGCAACAAAGAUAAUGCAAACAAAUGUAUCCAUCUUUUGGUGUCAUGGUCAUCUAGCAUUGAGAACCUGGGAGAAAUUUAUCCAUUCGGCUUGUUUAUUGUGCCUUCUUUUGGUGCUUGAGAACCUAAUGAAACAAAAAGAGAUGAAUAUUAGAGUGCCUUGAGAAAAACUGUUACAGCAAAUAGCUUUGCUAGAUGAACAUUAGUUCUAUUUACAGAGGGAGUAAUACAUAUGAAAGCAUAAUAGAAGAUUUCGUCAAGUAUCGCCGGAACAUAGUAAGCAACUAAGCAUAAUACAUGUAAAACAAGCCCUACUACUUGCAGAUAAUAAAAUACAAAUGCAGAGAUACAGCAGUAUUCAGUUUAGAUGAAUAGAAAAGCCGGUGUUGGCAAGAUAAUCACUGAUAUAGAUACAGUAGUACCACAGAAACUACUACUACUACUACUUCUACUUGCAGAUAAGCAGAGUCAGCAGCAGAGAUACAUCAGCCAGCCACAAUUGUCAAAGCAAAACUAGUUCAAUACAGUACUAAACUGAACAUGUACAAGUCUUUGGCCCUGGAAUAAAUUUACUCUAAAAAUAAGAAGAUAUCCAAGCGGCAGGAUUCUAUCAAAAUAAGAACAUAUCUAAGUUGAGAACAGAGGGAGUAGAUAGCACAAGGCCAUCCUAUCAUGUACACUGCGGAAUGCAUGCUCCUGUGAGAGCAUGUUCAUUUUGAUUGCAUCAUGUACACUGUUGUACUAUGUCACAGAAAUAUGUAGGAGUGAUCCGACUACUCAUCACAGAGAUCUCACAGAAAUAUGUACGUUUCUCUCUCUCUCACUAAUCCGAGUGUCAGUACUAUAACAUAGUAGCAUAUCAUUUAUUAUGAUACAGUAUAACGAAUCAAUUCUCCAGCUCAAAAAGUGGUGAUAUGAGGCAUAACGAUUGAUAAAUAUCAAGAAGACCACUUAAUACACAUAAUGAAGCAGAGACCACGGGGCGGAUCAGCUCGCAAAUAUUUCAAAAGUAGAGCAAAACAGGUCAGGACCAAAACAAGUGUCAAGGUAAAACACCAAUGAUCGAUACUGACCAACAAGAACACGUCCCCAACACCCGGCUGGUGAAGGCAAAUGGGUCGCUCACAGAAAAAUUCAGGACACAAUUUGCCUCUGGUUAUAAAGAUUUGAGGGAAUGGCUAGACAUGCUCUAACCACGUGGGCUUGCAUCUAGCAUUCUGGACAAAACAUAGCCACAGCAAGAACCGAAUUCCGUUUCACAAACCGAAAGCCGAUCAGCCAUUCAGAUCACCGUAGUCUCUAUUCAGAAGGAAAUUAAUUAAAAGUGCACAUUCAUUCAGAAAGACACAUCCACACCAGUAUCCAUUCAGAAAGGAUCCACACCAGUAUCCAUUCAGAAAGGAUCCACACCAGUAUCCAUUCAGAAAGGAUCCACACCAGUAUCCAUUCACUUAAGAAAUAAGGUCUAGAGGCCAAAAAGUUUGUGUACAUUACCGAAAUUAGGCGUGACAACUGGAUCCCAAGAAUCGGAGCGGCAGGCUGUCAAAAUAAGAACAUAUCUGCAACAUAUAACAGUUAAAAAAAAUCAAAUAACAUACUUAAACAGUCGCCAAACUGCUCAAAUUUUGAUCAGUUAAAAAAAUUAGUAAGAAUGGAUCGUUAAGAGCUGCUAUUGUUUCCUUGUGCUGACUGCUAAUUGAAAGCUUGGUAGAAUGGUAGCACUUGUUCCAGAGAAUGGUCAAAGUUUUGACAGAGGAUCACAACAAGAAAAUGAAGUCAAUUCACGGCAGGCAGACCAGCACACGCAGCCAUGAACGGUCAACCGACGCCGCCCAUGACCCCUGCCUGAGUCUCAGUCCAUCGCAGCAGUAGCUGCGGCUGUUUUUACUUAAAUAUGUGGAGUUUCUUUUUUUCUUGGCGCACCAAUUCAAAAGGACACGCUAUAUUAAAUCUGGGUUUUCACCUAUUGUGCUUUCACAUGUAGGUGUUCUCUUAUCUGCACCAAGCAGAAAGUAAAACAACGAGCAUACUAAAAAAAUAGCCUCGUGUACGAAUAGAGACAAGUUCGUCCAUUGUUUCCUAACCAAAGAAUUACGCAUGACCUUGAACUAGCAAUCAAGAGGCUGUCCAUGGUCACAGGCUCACCGCACAUACGCAUAACAGUUACGACAUCAGACCAUCACCAUCACUAAUACAAUUUGCACCACACUGCCAUCACCAUUAGCAUCAGACCAUCACAAACAAGCACUACUAAUACUACUAUAUAUCUCUAGAUAGGCACGCAGAUCGACUGCGGGAUCAACAGCAGUCACCAAGAGGGGGCGAAUUUGAUUUAGAACCUGCCAAUUUAUCCUCCUAGAUGCAUCAGACCAUCACCAACACAAAUUUAUGGCAAUCUCACGGGCUAGGGUUAGGGUAUAAGAGGGGCUAGAAGAGGACGGCGUCCUUGGCGAGCUAGCCGGGUAGGGUUAGGGUAGGAUACGCCGUUCUUGGCGUGCUCGCCGGUGAGGACAAGGCGGACGGAGGGCGUGCGGGAGGUGGAAGCCAUGGCUUCUCCCGGGAGAGGAUCGGGGAGGGGCGACGAUGACUUACCACCGGGGAGAAGUCCAGUACGCCGGAGGAGAUCGCCGGCGUCGAGCGGCGCGUAGUCUUGGGGAGGAGUCGGCGGCGGCGUCUUGGCGAGUGUCGGGCGGCCAAAUCCUCGAGCCUCGAGGGUUCUGAACCGCGUGGGGAGAAGUGGAUCGAAGGGGAAUCGAGGGGGUUUGGCCCAUCUAACCUCGCGUACCAAAC
rnacentral:lncRNA from 1 species